rnacentral:rRNA from 1 species
UACGUAGGGGGCAAGCGUUGUCCGGAAUCAUUGGGCGUAAAGCGCGUGUAGGCGGCCCGAUAAGUCCGCUGUGAAAGUCCAGGGCUCAACCCUGGAAUGCCGGUGGAUACUGUCGGGCUCGAGUCCGGAAGAGGCGAGUGGAAUUCCUGGUGUAGCGGUGAAAUGCGCAGAUAUCAGGAGGAACACCAAUGGCGAAGGCAGCUCGCUGGGACGGUACUGACGCUGAGACGCGAAAGCGUGGGGAGCAAACAGG